rfam:Loxodonta africana unplaced genomic scaffold scaffold_34, whole genome shotgun sequence.
CCCUGGGUAGUAUAAAUGGUUAACAUGCUUGGCUGCUAACCAAAAGGUUGGCAGUUCGAGUCUACCCAGAGGUU